GACUGGGAUAACUUCAAAGGGCCGGAGCUAAUACCGGAUAAUAUAAGGAACCUCCUGGUUCUUUAUUGAAAGAUGGUUUCGGCUAUCACUUACAGAUGGGCCCGGCCGGCAUUAGCUAGUUGGUGAGGUAAUGGCUCACCAAGGCGACGAUGCGUAGCCGACCUGAGAGGGUGAUCGGCCACACUGGGACUGAGACACAUAUCAGACUCCUACGGGAGGCAGCAGUAGGGAAUCUUCCACAAUGGACGAAAGUCUGAUGGAGCAACGCCGCGUGAGCGAUGAAGGCCUUCGGGUCGUAAAGCUCUUGGUGGAGGGAAGAACAAGUGCGAGAGUAACUGCUCGCACCUUGACGGUACCUAACCAGAAAGCCACGGCUAACUACGUGCCAGCAGCCGCGGUAAUACGUAGGUGGCAAGCGUUGUCCGGAAUUAUUGGCGUAAGCGCGCGCAGGUGGUUCUUAAGUCUGAUGUGAAGCCCACGGCUCAACCGUGGAGGGUCAUUGGAAACUGGAACUUGAGUGCAGAAGAGGAAAGUGGAAUUCCAAGUGUAGCGGUGAAAUGCGUAGAGAUUUGGAGGAACACCAGUGGCGAAGGCGACUUUCUGGUCUGUAACUGACACUGAGGCGCGAAAGCGUGGGGAGCAAACAGCCCGGGAUACCCUGGUAGUCCACGCCGUAAACGAUGAGUGCUAAGUGUUAGAGGUUCCGCCUUAGUGCUGCAGCUAACGCAUUAAGCACUCCGCCUAAAAAGUACGGUCGCAAGACUGAAA
rnacentral:rRNA from 1 species